rnacentral:pre_miRNA from 1 species
AUAAUACUCCCUCCGUCCGGAAUUACUUGUCAUCAAAAUGGAUGUGUCUAGAACUAAAAUACAUCUAGAUACAUCCAUUUCAAUGACAAGUAUUUUCGGACGGAGGAAGUAGUAG